rnacentral:rRNA from 1 species
CCUACGGGUGGCAGCAGUGGGGAAUAUUGCACAAUGGGCGAAAGCCUGAUGCAGCAACGCCGCGUGAAGGAAGAAAGGUUUCGGCUCGUAAACUUCUAUCAACAGGGACGAAAGAAAUGACGGUACCUCAAUAAGAAGCCCCGGGUAAGUACGGGCAAGCAGCCGCGGGAACACGUAGGGGGCAAGCGUUAUCCGGAAUUACUGGGUGAAAAGGUUGAGGGGGCGGCAUGGUAAGCCAGAUGUGAAAGCCUUGGGCGUAACCCGAGGAUUGCUUUUGGAACUAUCAAGCUAGAGUACAGGAGAGGAAAGAGGAAUUCCUAGUGUAGCGGUGAAAUGCGUAGAUAUUAGGAAGAACACCAGUGGCGAAGGCGGCUUUCUGGACUGAAACUGACGCUGAGGCACGAAAGCGUGGGGAGCGAACAGGAUUAGAUACCCGGGUAGUC